UACGUAGGGUGCAAGCGUUAAUCGGAAUUACUGGGCGUAAAGCGUGCGCAGGCGGUUUUGUAAGUCUGUUGUGAAAUCCCCCGGGCUCAACCUGGGAAUGGCAAUGGAGACUGCAAGGCUAGAGUUUGGCAGAGGGGGGUAGAAUUCCACGUGUAGCAGUGGAAAUGCGUAGAUAUGUGGAGGAACACCGAUGGCGAAGGCAGCCCCCCUGGGUCAAAACUGACGCUCAUGCACGAAAGCGUGGGGAGCAAACAGG
rnacentral:rRNA from 1 species